GGUGUUGGACAAUCUAUUGGAAAACUCACUGCCUUAUCUUAAAUACAACUAUAAAAAAUAUAGGGCAAUAAGAACCAAGAAAAACCAGGAUAAUGGUCAUGCUUCAGUUCAAUUCCAAGGUGGAGAAAGAGUACCUAAACAUUCUGCAAGUGUUGUUGAGGAGCUAGAAGAUGGCAUGUUUGAUGGGAUUGUCAGUAUAUGGACUCGACGACCAGAUUCAGACUAUACUUAGAUUAUCAGAGAGACAUCACAAUAGCUUGAUAUUUAUCUUUGACAAUGUUAUCGGAGUUGCCUUGACCUAUACUCGACGGGGUCGAGUUCUUUCAACCCUGGGAGAAUUGGUGGGGACACCGAACCGGAAACAUUGUUUACGCACGCAUAUGAUCAUAAACGAUGGAGAAUAGCCCAAACCAUUGAGAAAUUGAGCUUUACCUUAUGUUUUUUGGUUUAAUUUAGAUGAACUUUUAGUUGAGGUUUAUUAACUUGACUUUAUUUAUUGGGUUUGAUUUAAUUAUUAUUUGGUAUUUUAUUUAGUGGGUCAUAAGCCCAAUCGCUUGUUCUAGUUAGGGUUUUAGUAUUUAUAUCAUACAUUUCUAAAUGUUAAAUAAUUUUUUUAUGAUUAAUAAAAAAUAUUGCAGAUUAUACAUAUCUUCAUUCCCCGUUCUUUUCUUCCUUUGCUUUUUUUUUUUCUAAAAGUUUCUCUCUUUCCCUUAUUUAAUUCUUUUGUUUGUUGUCCUGCAUCAAUACCUGUGAAUCAAAAGCAAAUCAUCAUGUUUAUACAGCAUUUAAAUAAUUCCUUCCAGGAUAAGAAAUGCUAGGAAUGAUCAUGAUGUUCGCUUGUGCAUUGCCCCUUGCAUUUAUCUUUGCUGCUGUGGUAAGAUUUAACUAGUACUUUCACCUGAUUGUAGAUGAUGUUUGAGGGUGAUUUGGAUUUUUGUUACUGAA